rnacentral:rRNA from 1 species
UACGGAGGGUGCAAGCGUUAUCCGGAUUUACUGGGCGUAAAGGGCGCGUAGGCGGCCAGCGCAAGUCAGUUGUGAAAUCUCCGGGCUUAACUCGGAACGGUCAACUGAUACUGCGCGGCUAGAGUGCAGAAGGGGCAACUGGAAUUCUCGGUGUGGCGGUGAAAUGCGUAGAUAUCGAGAGGAACACCGGUGGCGAAGGCGGCCUUCUGGACAGCAACUGACGCUGAGACGCGAAAGCGUGGGGAGCAAACAGG